CUUUUUUUGAAUUUUCAGCUUUAGAGUAUCUUCUCUAAUCACCUUUCCAUUAAUACAACCUGGACUGGUGUAGGGAAUCAAGCAUGUUUUAGAGACCUGUUCCUGAAGACCAUUGUUCAAAGAGCCAUCCGAAAGAACCCGGCAACCCAGGAUGCCACUGAUGGGGCUGUCCAGGUUAAUGUAUACGCGUAACCUGAAAGGAGCAUCUGACCAUAAAGGCGGCACACAGCUGAGAGGGACCCACAGCUGACCCCUUAAACCGAGGCUGACUACUGACACCCCAGCAUCACAGACAACUGGAACCCUUUCUUUAUCCUGCAGUCAGUAACAUCAAGAAGCCUGAAGUGUGACAGUACACUCAACCAAUCCACACUUCACUGUGAAAAUUACUUUUCUUUUUUUCCAAAUUCCCUGGGACCCUGCCUUGAUGGCAGCUCCUCGGAAAGAUAUGGAAUGGCGAGAAGGUUUGUCCUUUAUACAGGUGCACGAGAUAAAGUACUGAUCAUAAGCGCCUCAUGCUUAUACAUUACAUUCAUGUGGAUCUUUUUUAAUGUCUUUCGUGUCUUUUACUGUUUUUUUUUUUAGUCAUGUGGAUUUGUUUUUUUUUAAUCAUUCUGUUUAUGUUGAUGUGUGUUGUGUUAUAAGCUACUGGGACCUUGAAUUUCCCAUUGAGGAUCAAUAAAGUAUCUGUUCAUUUUUCAUUCACAAGAGACAGAUCAUAUUGCAGCAAAGUAAAAAUAUUGUGUCCCAGGUCAGCAAUGCCAUUAUAAUAGUCUAUUCUAGUCCAGAGCUUUACUCUAAAUGAUUAACACUUAUCCUAUUGUUAGAAAUGACUAUUAUUUGGUAUGCUGGCCAUUCUUUGGUACCAAAUAUCCUCAUUACUUAAUAUAAUGUUUACUGGUAGCCUAAUUAUUUUCAUCUUAGAGCUGACCUCUAAAUUAUUAACAAUUGUUGUAAAUGUUCUAAUUUGCUUGUAAUGUUUUUUUUAAACUAGAAUUUAUUUGAAAACCUGUAUGUUCUUUAGUACUUUUUUAUUUUUCAGUUAUUUAUAUUUUAGUGCUCUUACACAUCAUAGUUCAAUGACUGUUAAUGUACUUUGAAAUGUGGAAUAAAAACUCCAAAUGAGAA